CUUAGACCUAAGAGUUAGCGGCAAAGUAUUUCAAGCUGCUAAUCAAUUAAUUAAUUCUCAUAAAUUAAUUGAUUUAUUUUAUUAAAAAGGUUAUCAUGUCGGUGCGAAGUAAAAAAUCUAUUAUUACUAUUACAGUAAUGAAUUCAAAUGAUGAAUAAAUAUAAAAAAUAUAUUUUUAAUUAAUUAAAAUCACAAAAGAGUAGAAAUAAACUAAAGAAGAUGAAAAAUUGUCAGAAAAGUAACAGCUCAUAUAUUUAACUAACAAAUUCACUUGGUACCAAAUUUAUAAUCUUGAUUACAAUAUCUCGAGCAUGAAAUUUAAAUAAAAUUACUCGAGUUGAUAAAGCCAGAC